rnacentral:lncRNA from 1 species
GCCGAAGCUGGCCUUUUUGGCAAUGAAGUCUGUGGUGCAUCAUGCGACAACCCUGGCAUGUCACCAGGUGUCAAGGGCCUGGACCUCACUGUUGGUGAGAUCCCACGUGAUGGAACUGGUUUCUUGGAUGCUACUGAAGCUGAACUUGUCACAGAAGAGGAUCUACUAACAGGAGCUAAUGAGCGACAAGUUGGAGUUGAUGAUCUUGAUGUUGACUUAGAAGAUGGUAACGAGUGUCUUGCAGUUGGUGUUGAUGAUCUUGUAGGGGUUGAUGUUCUUGCUGAUGCAGCCGCUGGCUUUGUGGAAGACAAUG